rnacentral:rRNA from 1 species
UACAGAGGGUGCGAGCGUUAAUCGGAAUUACUGGGCGUAAAGCGCACGUAGUCGGCUUUGCAAGUCGGGUGUGAAAUCCCCGGGCUCAACCUGGGAACUGCAUCCGAGACUGCAUUGCUAGAGUAUGGGAGAGGGAAGCGGAAUUUCUGGUGUAGCAGUGAAAUGCGUAGAUAUCAGGAAGAACACCCGUGGCGAAGGCGGCUCUCUGGGACGUGACUGACGCUGAGACGCGAAAGCGUGGGGAGCGAACAGG